GUGUACAGCCAUACCACCCUGAACGUUCCUGAUUUCAUCUGAUCUCAGAAGCUAAGCAGGGUCGGGCCUGGUUAGUACUUGAAUGGGAGACCACCUAGGAAUACCAGAUGCUGUAGGCU
rnacentral:rRNA from 1 species